UCCUCCCGAAUCACUCGCUCCCGUGAGAGAGAGCGACUGCGGCGGCGACGGCGAGACGCGCUCGCACAUGAGGUCACGGCGGCGCGAGACACGCCGGACAUGGCGACGCGGUAGCUUCGCUCGCCGGAGCAGCGUGCAAAUGGACUUUCUCCCGUGCGCUCCUCCGUCGAGCGUAGCUCCGGUGACGCGACGAGGCAGCGGUGGGGCAUUUUGCCGGCGGCGGCGACGUCCGAGGCACAGAGGCCAGGCGACGCGCGCGUGCGUGAGCGCAGCAGCGGCGGCUGCUACUUCAUUCCGCGCGCCAUCCUGAAGGGCGGCGGCGUCCUGGCCAUGGCGUGCACGCACAGCAGCGGCCGUGCGGACCCCGAAGGCCGGCGUCAUCUGGAUCAGGAAGAAGAUGUCAUGCUUGAUGUCCCUGGAGAAGUUGUUUUCUUGAGAGAAGUCCUUGAAGAUGAUUAUGUUGAAGGUGGUACGAAGGAACGAGACAACCACUUAUUUUGACCCAAACAUUGAUGCUAUGAAGAAACAAGAGCAAUUGCAUCCAGAAAAAAUUACUUUUCAAGUGUUGCAUAUACGACAUUUUUAUUUUGUGAAGUCAGUGCAAUGGUUAAUCUAUCCGUGUGGUAUGCUUUGUCAAUAGGUAUCGACAGAAUGAUUUACAAUGUCAUACUGAAGUCGGACGAAAAACAUGAUGAAUCAAUGCUCUUACUUUAAUAUUA